rnacentral:rRNA from 1 species
UACGUAGGGAGCAAGCGUUGUCCGGAAUCAUUGGGCGUAAAGAGCGUGUAGGCGGCCCGGUAAGUCCGCUGUGAAAGUCGGGGGCUCAACCCUCGAAUGCCGGUGGAUACUGUCGGGCUAGAGUGCGGAAGAGGCGAGUGGAAUUCCUGGUGUAGCGGUGGAAUGCGCAGAUAUCAGGAGGAACACCAAUAGCGAAGGCAGCUCGCUGGGACGGUACUGACACUAAGGCGCGAAAGCGUGGGGAGCGAACAGG